GACGAACGCUGGCGGCGUGCUUAACACAUGCAAGUCGAACGCAUCCUUCGGGGUGAGUGGCAGACGGGUGAGUAACGCGUGGGAACGUGCCCUCCAGUUCGGGAUAACCCAGGGAAACUUGGGCUAAUACCGGAUACGUGCGAGAGCAGAAAGAUUUAUCGCUGAAGGAUCGGCCCGCGUCUGAUUAGCUAGUUGGUGGGGUAAUGGCCCACCAAGGCGACGAUCAGUGGCUGGUCUGAGAGGAUGAUCAGCCACAUUGGGACUGAGACACGGCCCAAACUCCUACGGGAGGCAGCAGUGGGGAAUAUUGGACAAUGGGCGCAAGCCUGAUCCAGCCAUGCCGCGUGAGUGAUGAAGGCCUUAGGGUUGUAAAGCUCUUUCGUCCGGGACGAUAAUGACGGUACCGGAAGAAGAAGCCCCGGCUAACUUCGUGCCAGCAGCAGCCGCAG
rnacentral:rRNA from 1 species